ACCCACACACUACCAGCCCCUCCACCCAGGAACAGCAUCAGCAACCACGCAGAGAGGAGCCCAUUGCUGCUGAAGGUGAGAGGCUGUCCUCUGCCUGCUUUCAGGACUCCUGGUUCUCAGGCUGCUAGACCUGAACUGGAAUCUACAGCCACUGGCUCUCUGGCUUUCAGGUCUUCAAACUACAUCACCAGCUUUCCUGGGCCUGAACCUUGCCAAUGACAGAUUGUGGGACUUCUCAGCCUCCAUAAACAUGAAGUGAAAGAAUAACAUGAAGAGAAAUCCCUCUCUGAAGAAAAAAGAAAACUUCACAAACCCAUCCUACAACCUAUAAAACAGCCACUUAAUAACGUUAAGUUUGGGCUAAGAUGAUAGGCCACAGGAAAGCCGAAGGCAGAAAGAAGGCAGAAAAUGGACAGAUUGCAACAUGGAAUGUCUGUGAAUUAAAGCAGAGAAUUAUCUCUCAUUUGCUUUUAGAUGGCCAAGUUUUUUAUGGAUUUAUAAACAUUGCUAUGCAAAAGAUCUUAACCCUUUGUCUUUCACACAGGUUGAAUAUUUUCUUCUGAAUUUUAUAUCUUAAUUAAAAUUUUGCAUAUAACUUAUUUUGUUUUGAUAUUGCUUUUGUUUUGUUUGGGGGUAGGGUGCUUUUUAGGUAGCCAAAUAUAUUAUUUUCCUAUCUUUGGUGCUGUGAUUAGAAAAAAUGCUAUAAAAUGCUUUACAGCCUUUUUAAACUUAAUUAGACUGUAUUAAAAACAGUGUUUCCCGAUAUAUUUAAAAAGUGAUACUGGCUCAAUAUAAUCAUGAGAAUAUCUACAUUUACUCCUAUUAAAGUAAGACACAGUUGCAAUUUUGCCAAAAGAUGAAUUAGAGAGUAUUUAUCCUGAUAUUUUACCAAAAUGUUAGUUCAUCUGAAAUUGAUCUUGAAAUUUACCUUUUCCAACAAAUUAAUUAACCCAGCAUUGAAUAAACCAGACUUUCUGCUGUCA
rnacentral:lncRNA from 1 species